AUUAUGGUCCUGUGUUUGUUAAAUGUUGAACUGAAUAAUGUCGAUAUGGUGACAAUAGCAAGCGUUUAUAUGUAAGCAGAUGGGUUUAUCGUUAAUAUAUACAAUUAUAUGACGUGAUGUCACGGCUGAGCCGCGAAAAUUAACGAGAACGGCUUUUCUACCCGUGAGGAAAAAUCAGAACUAAAUAGUUAAGUUUUAUCCUGAACUUGUAUCAUUGCAGCAUGUAUAGUUCUAACACAAUUUGAAUCUAACGUGAAGAACGAUGACAUGUAACCAAUGACAAAGUUAAGAGGCGUGACUUGCUGGAGGUGCCCCGGCUGCGAUGUGAAGACAGUAAUUAAACCCCGCAGCAUCCACAAAAGACAGCGGUUGUUUCAAGCGUGGAGUAUAUCGAUUCUGUUGUUGAGCGGAUUUGAACACCGACCGUGUUUGGUAAACAAAUUUUUGGACCUCCAAAUCUUGUUCAAGUGACCGGCAUCUGCGUCAGUUGGACUGGGAGGUCAGACUGUGAUCUUACACAACCUGAGCAGAUACUUUGUAUUGAGGACAGCCGGGGUGAUGAUACAAAGUACAUUACCACAAUGGGGUCAGUUACGGACACCCUUCCUUGUGGCUGCACAGCGUGAGGGGAUUUUUGUUUUCUUUCAGGCUUGAAAGCUGAAGAUAUUUGAAAUUUCUUCAAGAUUUUUUUGUGACAGCUGACAAGCACUUCAUGGUUGACUUCAAAGUGCACUACUACGUUCUCACUGACCGUCCCGGCGAUGUUCCCUUGAAACCGGGAAGAUUCCAGAGAGUGAUUCCGGUCCCAACUGUAAACCGCUGGCAAGAGAUAUCAGCCAGGAGGAUGGGGUACAUCAACGACGUCAUCGUCCAUAAUAUCAGCCAGGAGGCGGACUACCUUUUCUGCCUCGACGUAGACAGCAAGUUCCAUGCUUGCUUUGGGGCUUGAGUCAUUUGGAGAUCUGGUUGCUUUCAUUCACCCAGGCUACUAUUAGAAAACCCAUCGCGACCACUUCCCUUACAAACGGCGUCCGGCCUCGAAAGCCUACAUUCCCAUGGGUCAGGGAGACUUCUAUUAGAGCAGGGCCCUGUUCGGAAGCCAUGUGGACAAUGUGCUCGAGCUGACUGCGGUGUUUCACGAGUGAUUUCAGGAGGAUGAAAAGAAAAACAUUGAGGCGGUUUGGCAGGAGGAGAGACACCUGAAUUGGUACCUGCUCUACCACAAGCCCAGCAAGGUGUUGGCUUCAGAGUACCUCUGGCAGGACUUGAAGGUCAGAACCAAAGAGAUCAAAGUUGUUUGAUUCUCUGGAGUCAUUAAAAACUAUGCAGAUGUUCAUCCCAAUGUAUAGGGCCACAAUAUUUAAGGGUUCUCCGAUAGGAGAAACCCUAUUGUUAUUGUUUUUAUUAUUAUAAUUGGCGCCUAAAAUACUUAACUGAAAACGUCCAUGAUGAAAAAUGCUCUAAACAUGCAUACUGUAAAAAUAGUCAAUGUGUAACUACCAUACAGACCCCCGUACCAAUCCCUCCACCAGGGGCACUAUAGAACUCGAUUGAAUUUACUAAUUUCAAAAUGAUGCCAUUUCCACCCUGUUUGUCCUACAGUGCAGAUUCUUUUUUUGUACAUGCCUCGUUUCUCAUGACGAACAAAAAAGCCUCAAGAACCCACAAAGUCCACCAUGAUGGAUUUUUCUGUACAAUGAAAAUUUGUCCAAAACUACAAAAAUCUUCUCAUGAACCAUGAAUCCAAUUGACUUGUCCUUUAGCAAACUGGUGUCUGAUACAUGCCUCCCUUAAAUCUCUUCAGGAAUAAGAGAACUUGCAAAAUGGCUGACUACUGUACAAUAUAUGUAUGCACAAUGUGCAUGUGUGCAAUUCUUUAUUGGAACAAUAACCUAUGCACUUCAUAUUCAUUGUGCAUCCAGACACCACCCCCAUAUAAGACCAUGUGCAUUUGUUGGUUGAUAUCUCAAAAGACGACAAAAUGGCAGCUGACAGAAUUUUGUCAAUUUUCAACACAAACUAAUGACAAUGAUAAUAAAUGCCUUCAAAACAAUUUUUCUCCUAAACCGUACAUCAUAUUUACUCGCCAGUAUAUUUCCAGACCCGAGGACAUACUUCUGUCAAUGAAACUAGUUGCUAUGUCAAACAUUUACUGAACUAGGACUUCAUAAAGUUAACCCUUUAUGCAAGCUCUAAUGACUACUAUUAACUAUUAGGCUGUAUCUUUUGAACCAUUUGAGCUACAGACCAGACACCAACUUUCUUUCACCAGUUUAGCUAUCCUCACUUCAAAUUAGGAAAGGUUUAUCGAUUUUCUGUAUGCUAAUUAGCGUAAUCAGUGUAAAUUAACUACUAGGCUGUAUCUUUUUAACCGUUCGAGCUACAGACACUAGACCUGUCAGUGGUAACACUUAACCCUGUAAAGCCUGACACAUCAAAUAGUAGCCUGAAAAAUGGAAGGGUUAAAUGGACC
ensembl:lncRNA